CCAAAGGUAUGUCAGGUCUCCUGGGUCCUGUCUCCGAUGGAAGUUGGCUACCCGUUGUGUUAACUCCACCAACCCCAACUUUGGAAAGAAAAAGGGACAUGUCAACAGACAGCAAACAAACAAACAAAAACAAAACUGAGACGCGCUCUCCAGAGGAAAACAGGAAGCAAGUUGGGGCCGGAUGCCCUUCGACUGACUUUGAGAAGUAAGAACAGUAACAACAGUCACCGAGCUGGUACUUAACAUACCUCAUUUCAUUUAACCUUCACAACAGUUUCAGGAGUCUCAGAGAGAUCACCCCAGCUCACGUGCGCAGAUCACCGGGCCUCAUUAUGUGCCAGGCACUAGGACACAGCAAUAAACAGGUCUCCUGAUGGCCACAGUCACAGAAGGGAAGGCCCCAAGUCUGGGCUCCCCAGUAUGGCAGCCACCAGUCACAUGUGCCCUCGGAGCUCCUAGAUGUGCUGUAAGACUUAGGACCAAAAAAGUAUGUAAAUGAUCUCACUGAUAUCUUUGCAUUGAUUGUGUGUUAAAGUUGUGAACUUAAAAAGGGGGGUUCUAGGCAAAGUAACCUCAACAGGUGAUCUGAGCAUAAAUUCCUAACUGGGUAGGUGAUGGUGGGUAGUCACACCCCAGGCAUACAACUUCUUUACUAAAAGGCUUAUCUUUGCCUUAGGCAAGCCCUGUCUAUGGUUUCUGUCCUUCUAGGUUAACACACCUUUGAAAUGCCCCCUUUCAGACCCCUCCAGACAGCACAUAAUCUUAACUAUUCUGUAAUCCCCUUCCCAAAUGGCUUCCUCCCACCUUCAUGUAACCUUCCUGACAUUCCCUCCUUAAUUUCAAACACAUAAAAGCUGCCAAACUGUUACUCUCUGGGCCAUUUGAGAUCUUGCUCCCUGGCAUAAGUCAUCAGUUUGGCUCAAAUACUCAUAAAAAUUCUCUACAGGGGGGUCGAUGGGGGGAAAAUGUCAUACUUUCAACAAUAAAGAUUUUUUUUAAAAAAAAUUCUCUACAGGUUUGGACAUUUCCCGUGUAGACAAAGUGAUAAUAUUUUGGAUAAAUUGAAUUAAGUGAAAUAUA